rnacentral:rRNA from 1 species
CCUACGGGAGGCAGCAGUGGGGAAUAUUGGGCAAUGGGCGAAAGCCUGACCCAGCAACGCCGCGUGAAGGAAGAAGGCUUUCGGGUUGUAAACUUCUUUUGACAGGGAAGAGCAGAAGACGGUACCUGUCGAAUAAGCCACGGCGAACUACGUGCCAGCAGCCGCGGUAAUACGUAGGUGGCAAGCGUUGUCCGGCUUUACUGGGGGUAAAGGUCGUGUAGCCGGGCUGACAAGUCAGUUGUGAAAUCCGGGGGCUCAACCCCCGAACUGCAUUUGAAACUGUUGGUCUUGAGUAUCGGAGAGGCAGGCGGAAUUCCUAGUGUAGCGGUGAAAUGCGUAGAUAUUAGGAGGAACACCAGUGGCGAAGGCGGCCUGCUGGACGACAACUGACGGUGAGGCGCGAAAGCGUGGGGAGCAAACAGGAUUAGAUACCCCGGUAGUC